rnacentral:rRNA from 1 species
AACGAACGCUGGCGGCAUGCCUAACACAUGCAAGUCGAACGAAGCCUUCGGGCUUAGUGGCGCACGGGUGCGUAACACGUGGGAAUCUGCCUCUAGGUAGGGAAUAACUCAGGGAAACUUGUGCUAAUACCCUAUGAUGUCUUCGGACCAAAGAUUUAUCGCCUAGAGAUGAGCCCGCGUCGGAUUAGCUAGUUGGUGAGGUAAAGGCUCACCAAGGCUACGAUCCGUAGCUGGUCUGAGAGGAUGAUCAGCCACACUGGGACUGAGACACGGCCCAGACUCCUACGGGAGGCAGCAGUGGGGAAUAUUGGACAAUGGGCGAAAGCCUGAUCCAGCAAUGCCGCGUGAGUGAAGAAGGCCUUCGGGUUGUAAAGCUCUUUUACCCGGGAAGAUAAUGACUGUACCGGGAGAAUAAGCCCCGGCUAACUCCGUGCCAGCCGCCGCAGUAAAAC